rnacentral:rRNA from 1 species
UACAGAGGGUGCAAGCGUUAAUCGGAAUUACUGGGCGAAAGCGUGCGUAGACGGUCAUGUAAGUCGGGUGUGAAAGCCCCGGGCUCAACCUGGGAAUUGCAUUCGAGACUGCAUGGCUAGGGUGCGGAAGAGGGAAGCGGAAUUUCCGGUGUAGCGGUGAAAUGCGUAGAUAUCGGAAGGAACACCAGUGGCGAAAGCGGCUUCCUGGUCCAGCACCGGACGUCAGGCACGAAAGCGUGGGGAGCAAACAGG